GAUGAACGCUGGCGGCGUGCCUAAUACAUGCAAGUCGAGCGAACGGACGAGAAGCUUGCUUCUUUGAUGUUAGCGGCGGACGGGUGAGUAACACGUGGAUAACCUCCCUAUAAGUCUGGGAUCACUUCGGGACACCGGAGCUAAUACCGGAUAAUAUUUUGAACCGCAUGGUUCAAAAGUGAAAGACGGUCUUGCUGUCACUUAUAGAUGGAUCCGCGCUGCAUUAGCUAGUUGGUAAGGUAACGGCUUACCAAGGCAACGAUGCAUAGCCGACCUGAGAGGGUGAUCGGCCACACUGGAACGGGGACACGGUCAAGACGCCUAAGGGAGGCAGCAGUAGGGAAUGGUACGCAGUGGGCGAAAGCAUGGCGGAGCGACGCCGCGUGAGUGAUGAAGGUGCUCGGAGCGUGAAACUCUGUUAUGAGGGAAAAACAUAUGUGUAAGUAACUGUGCACAGCGUGACGGUACCGAAUCAGAAAGCAACGGCUAACUACGUG
rnacentral:rRNA from 1 species